UACGGGGGGGCAAGCGUUGUUCGGAAUUACUGGCGUAAAGGGCUCGUAGGUGGCCAACUAAGUCGGACGUGAAAUCCCUCAGCUUAACUGGGGAACUGCGUCCGAUACUGGAUGGCUCGAGUUUGGGAGAGGGAUGCGGAAUUCCAGGUGUAGCGGUGAAAUGCGUAGAUAUCUGGAGGAACACCGGUGGCGAAGGCGGCAUCCUGGACCAACACUGACACUGAGGAGCGAAAGCCAGGGGAGCAAACGGG
rnacentral:rRNA from 1 species